CGAGUGAACGCUGGCGGCAGGCCUAACACAUGCAAGUCGAACGGCAGCACGGCAGUAGCAAUACUGUGGGUGGCGAGUGGCGGACGGGUGAGGAAUACAUCGGGAUCUACCCUGUUGUGGGGGAUAACGUAGGGAAACUUACGCUAAUACCGCAUAAGAACUGAGGUUGAAAGCGGCGGACCGCAAGGCGUCGCGCGAUUGGAUGAACCGAUGUCCGAUUAGCUAGUUGGCGGGGUAAAGGCCCACCAAGGCGACGAUCGGUAGCUGGUCUGAGAGGACGACCAGCCACACUGGAACUGAGACACGGUCCAGACUCCUACGGGAGGCAGCAGUGGGGAAUAUUGGACAAUGGGCGCAAGCCUGAUCCAGCCAUGCCGCGUGGGUGAAGAAGGCCUUCGGGUUGUAAAGCCCUUUUGUCCGGAAAGAAAAGCACGGGAUUAAUACCCUCGUGUGAUGACGGUACCGUAAGAAUAAGCACCGGCUAACUACGUG
rnacentral:rRNA from 1 species